UACGUAGGGGGCUAGCGUUGUCCGGAAUCAUUGGGCGUAAAGCGCGUGUAGGCGGCCCGAUAAGUCCGCUGUGAAAGUCCAGGGCUCAACCCUGGGAUGCCGGUGGAUACUGUCGGGCUCGAGUCCGGAAGAGGCGGGUGGAAUUCCUGGUGUAGCGGUGAAAUGCGCAGAUAUCAGGAGGAACACCAAUUGCGAAGGCAGCUCGCUGGGACGUUACUGACGCUGAGACGCGAAAGCGUGGGGAGCAAACAGG
rnacentral:rRNA from 1 species